rnacentral:rRNA from 1 species
UUGGGAUAACCCUCGGAAACGGGGGCUAAUACCGAAUAUUACUUCUGGCCGCAUGGCUGGGGGUGGAAAGUUUUUCGGCUUGGGAUGGGCUCGCGGCCUAUCAGCUUGUUGGUGGGGUGAUGGCCUACCAAGGCGACGACGGGUAGCCGGCCUGAGAGGGCGACCGGCCACACUGGGACUGAGACACGGCCCAGACUCCUACGGGAGGCAGCAGUGGGGAAUAUUGCACAAUGGGCGGAAGCCUGAUGCAGCGACGCCGCGUGAGGGAUGACGGCCUUCGGGUUGUAAACCUCUUUCAGCAGGGACGAAGCGGAAGUGACGGUACCUGCAGAAGAAGCGCCGGCCAACUACGUGCCAGCAGCCGCGGUAAGACGUAGGGCGCGAGCGUUGUCCGGAUUUAUUGGGCGUAAAGAGCUCGUAGGCGGCUUGUCGCGUCGACCGUGAAAACUUGGGGCUCAACCCCAAGCCUGCGGUCGAUACGGGCAGGCUAGAGUUCGGUAGGGGAGACUGGAAUUCCUGGUGUAGCGGUGAAAUGCGCAGAUAUCAGGAGGAACACCGGUGGCGAAGGCGGGUCUCUGGGCCGAUACUGACGCUGAGGAGCGAAAGCGUGGGGAGCGAACAGGAUUAGAUACCCUGGUAGUCCACGCUGUAAACGUUGGGCGCUAGGUGUGGGGGGCCUCUCCGGUUCCCUGUGCCGCAGCUAACGCAUUAAGCGCCCCGCCUGGGGAGUACGGCCGCAAGGCUAAAACUC